rnacentral:rRNA from 1 species
UUACGCCUUGACGGGCAGCUCCCCGGAAACGAAAGUCUUCCGGUUCCGGGGGAAGUAUGGUUGCAAAGCUGAAACUUAAAGAAAUUGACGGAAGGGCACCACCAGGAGUGGAGCCUGCGGCUUAAUUUGACUCAACACGGGAAAACUCACCUGGCCAGGACACCGUGAGGACUGACAGAUUGAGAGCUCUUUCUUGAUUCGGUGGUUGGUGGUGCAUGGCCGUUCUUAGUUGGUGGAGUGAUUUGUCUGGUUUAUUCCGAUAACGAGCGAGACUCUAGCCUAUUAAAUAGUUAUCGGAUAAAUGUGUUCGAAAGACUUCUUAGAGGGACAAGCGGUGCUCAGCCGCACGAAAUUGAGCAAUAACAGGUCUGUGAUGCCCUUAGAUGUCCAGGGCUGCACGCGCGCUACACUGGAGAAAUCAGCGUGCCGUAACCAUUGUCGACAGGCAUUGGUAACCAAUUGAAAUUUUUCCGUGAUCGGGAUCGGUAAUUGCAAUUAUUUGCCUUGAACGAGGAAUUCCCAGUAAGUGUGAGUCAUCAGCUCGCGUUGAUUACGUCCCUGCCCUUUGUACACACCGCCCGUCGCUGCCCGGGACUGAGCCGUUUCGAGAAAAGCGGGGACUGCUGUUUCGAAGCCCUUCGGGGUGGAGAUUCUUCGGCGGGAACCGCUUUAAUCGCAGUG